rnacentral:rRNA from 1 species
GACGAACGCUGGCGGCGUGCUUAACACAUGCAAGUCGAACGGAAAGGCCUGCUUUCCCUUGUGGAUUGCGGGUACUCGAGUGGCGAACGGGUGAGUAACACGUGAGUGAUUUGCCCCCAACUUGGGUAUAAGCCUGGGAAACUGGGUCUAAUUCCCGAUAGGACUGCAGGGUGGUGCCUGUGGUGGAAAACGAUUUUCUAGUGGUUGGGGAUGAGCUCGCGGCCUAUCAGCUUGUUGGUGGGGUAAUGGCCUACCAAGGCGGCGACGGGUAGCCGGCCUGAGAGGGUGGACGGCCACAUUGGGACUGAGAUACGGCCCAGACUCCUACGGGAGGCAGCAGUGGGGAAUAUUGCACAAUGGGCGGAAGCCUGAUGCAGCGACGCCGCGUGGGGGAUGACGGCCUUCGGGUUGUAAACUCCUUUCGACCGCGAGGAAGCCACCUGGUUGGAAGGGUGGUGACGGUAGUGGUAGAAGAAGCACCGGCUAACUACGUG